rnacentral:rRNA from 1 species
AAUAGAUACCCAGGUAGUCCACGCCGUAAACGAUGAGUGCUAAGUGUUAGAGGGUUUCCGCCCUUUAGUGCUGCAGCUAACGCAUUAAGCACUCCGCCUGGGGAGUACGGUCGCAAGACUGAAACUCAAAGGAAUUGACGGGGGCCCGCACAAGCGGUGGAGCAUGUGGUUUAAUUCGAAGCAACGCGAAGAACCUUACCAGGUCUUGACAUCCUCUGACAACUCUAGAGAUAGAGCGUUCCCCUUCGGGGGACAGAGUGACAGGUGGUGCAUGGUUGUCGUCAGCUCGUGUCGUGAGAUGUUGGGUUAAUCCCGCAACGAGCGCAACCCUUGAUCUUAGUUGCCAGCAUUUAGUUGGGCACUCUAAGGUGACUGCCGGUGACAAACCGGAGGAAGGUGGGGAUGACGUCAAAUCAUCAUGCCCCUUAUGACCUGGGCUACACACGUGCUACAAUGGAUGGUACAAAGGGCUGCAAGACCGCGAGGUCAAGCCAAUCCCAUAAAACCAUUCUCAGUUCGGAUUGUAGG